ACACGUCUACAUUAGAUACCCGGGUAGUCCCAGCCGUAAACUAUGCGCGUUAGGUGUAUCGGUGACCACGAGUUACCGAGGUGCCGAAGGGAAACCGUGAAACGUGCCGCCUGGGAAGUACGGUCGCAAGGCUGAAACUUAAAGGAAUUGGCGGGGGAGCACCACAACAGGUGGAGCCUGCGGUUUAAUUGGACUCAACGCCGGGAAGCUCACCGGAUAGGACAGCAGAAUGAUUGCCGGGCUGAAGACCCUGCAUGACUAGCUG
rnacentral:rRNA from 1 species